rnacentral:rRNA from 1 species
UACGUAGGGUGCGAGCGUUGUCCGGAAUUAUUGGGCGUAAAGAGCUUGUAGGCGGUUUGUCGCGUCUGCUGUGAAAUCUCAAGGCUCAACCUUGAGCUUGCAGUGGGUACGGGCAGGCUCGAGUGUGGUAGGGGAGACUGGAAUUCCUGGUGUAGCGGUGAAAUGCGCAGAUAUCAGGAGGAACACCGAUGGCGAAGGCAGGUCUCUGGGCCACUACUGACGCUGAGAAGCGAAAGCGUGGGGAGCGAACAGG